UAUGUCUAACAUUGGUUGAAAGACAUUCUAGUUAAGCAUACAAACAAACACAAGCUUGUUUUAGAACAAAGGUAAAGAAUUCAGACUUCAUCUAAUUACACUCUGAUGAAUAAAAGGAGAUUAUAAGAUAUUUAAAGAGGGAAGAACAGGACAAUUUCAGAUGGAUCAAGCAAGGCUGAGCAAGGGACAAUGGCUUUCGCUGCUGUAAAUAGUACUAUGGCACAACAGGAGAAUCAAUGAGGGGAGAAACUGGUGCAGCAGUUUUGAAAUAUCUACAGAAGACUUGACAACAAUACCUGAAUGAGGACAGUAUCUCUGCCUAUAGAGGGACUUUUGCUAAGACACCAGGUGCUUAUAUUUUUAUUAAGUCACUACUCUGAGGCCCAAGGGAGCUGAGCAAAUUGAGAGCAUGCAAGAGAAAUGGU
rnacentral:lncRNA from 1 species